rnacentral:lncRNA from 1 species
ACUACAAGAAAUAUGGGUUUUGAUAGCAGUAGAGGAUAGCGUUUUUUGCCUUUCUGCUAUGGUUGACAUACCCUUUAGUUUUAGAUAGCGUUUAUAUAUUUUGAAACGCUAUGAAAAGAUGAUAUAUUUAAAAACGCUAUGAUAGCAUAUUUUUAAUAGCACAAAAUUAAAAACGCUAUGUUUGUCUUUUUAAAUCCCUAAAACGAAUUUUUAAACCCCAAAAUCUAAACACAAACUUUAAACUCUAAUAUUCUAACAUUAAAUCUUAAAUUUAACUUAAAAUAUUAAAUAUAAAAUUAAAGUUAUUUCUUUUUAAAAAUUAAUUGCAAAUAUCAAUACCCUAAACCUUUAACCAUAUACUCAACCUCUAUUCUAAACUCAUAACUUUAAAUUUAAACUCUAAAU